rfam:Corynebacterium matruchotii ATCC 14266 gcontig_1125149795841, whole genome shotgun sequence.
CUGUGGCCGCCAUGCUGAUGUGCGACGGAGUCCGUGGUGGUUGCAGUGAGUUUACAGACAUCCAUCGCACCGUGAGAAUCUUUCAUUAGAAUUCUUGCGGCCCGAACACGGGAGAGAACGCUGAGCGUUACAAC